rnacentral:rRNA from 1 species
GGUGAGUAUAGCUAUGGGGGUACACCUAGUUACAUUCCGAACCUAGAAGUUAAGCCCAUAUACGCUGAUGGUACUUGGCUGGAAGCGGCCUGGGAGAGUAUGGAUUUGCC